ensembl:lncRNA
UACUAACACAGCACUUCACAAACUUUAUUUUGAAUGUGAUAUUUUUCAUGUGAGUCAGCCCACAGUUCCAGUGAAAAUAGAGACUCAGAUCCAGUGGGUCUGACAGGAGGGCUGAGACCUUGCAUUUUGAACAUGCUCAUCCAUGAUGCUAAUAAUUCUGGUCUGUGAAUUGCACUUUGAGUAACAAGUGAUCCCUGAUCCUCUUGGCAUAUGGGAAUCACCUGACCAGCUUAUUAAAACUCCGGAUCUUGGGGCCAGAGGCUGGUCCAGGUUUUGUGGGGCUUGAGGUCAUUCCAUGUAGAGGAUACUCUUUUAAAAAUAUAAAAUGAAUAAUAAGAAAUUGCUGGAGCUCUUCUCAGGACCCUGGAAGGGACUGUGCCUAGAAGAAUUUCUCCAGAUGAGUCUUAAUGGCCAAUCCCUGGGCUCAACCCCACCUUUGGGAACUGCUGUCCGGAAUCUCUUGUUUUCGUCCUGCCUGUCUGCUUAACGCCUCAAUCCUGUUCAUCACCAAAGGCCACUAUGUCCAGCAUUGGUCUAGACCCUGCAGACACAAGGAUCAGAGAAGGAUACUCUUACCUUGAGGAGCUCAUAGUCUACUGGAAAGCUGGCCACAAAAUGAAUUUCACAUCAACUGUCUGUCCAAGUUCUGUAGGGAAGAGAAGAGGGAACAAACUUCAGCCAGGACAGGAGGACAAGGUCUUGCAGAGGGACUGACAUUAGCUAGGUCUUGCCACAUUACUGGGGCUUUUCCAAGUAGCAGGAAGCCCUGAAAGAAUACAGUCUCUUUAGAAACUAACCAAUCACAUUCAUGUGAGGCAGAAGAGGAGGGCACAUAAUGGGAACAAGGUUCAGGGCUGUGAGAGGUGGGUCUGGAGAGCAACCAGGGCCCCAGGAGACUGGGCUCAAUGGGAGUGGAAGAGUGGGCAGGGGAAAGUUUUUGAGCAGUAAAGUACGUACCUCGAUCAGCUUCCUAGGUGGCUCAGUGGUAAAAAACAAAAAAAAAAGAAAAAAAAGUCUGCCUGCCUAUGCAGAAGCCGCAGGAGAUGCAGGUUUGAUCCCUGGGUCAGGAAAAUCGCCUGGAGAAGCAAAUGGCAACCCACUCCAGUAUUCUUGCCUGGAAAAUCCCAUGGACAGAAGAAACUGAUGGGCUAAAGUCCGUGGUGUUGCAAACAGUCAGACAUGACUGAGUGACUGAGCAUACAUGCAUAUUCUUCUCAACACUCAACAGAAAUUUCACCUAGAAGGAGCAUCAAAAGAGUGAUGGAGUGAAAAAAUAAAUCAAAGGUGGAAGGAAAGAAAGAAAGCAAGUCACCAAGAAUAUUGUCCGAGAUACUUACAGGUUGGGGAUGACUUUAAGUAAAAGUUUUUAUGUCUCUGAGUUUUUGUUCUUCCCUUUGUAGUUACUGGCAAUAAAAGAGUAAAAAUAAGUAUAGGAUGUAAAAGUACUUUAACUU